AAGCGGGGAUAUACAUAUAAGACGAGAAGACCCCAUGGAGCUUUAAACCUGACAGCACCCGCUCAUUCUAUACCCCAUUAUUUGCCCGACCCCUGUCUGCUCAGUUUUAGGUUGGGGUGACCACGGAGUAUAAAAUAACCUCCAUGAAGAAGGGGAUAUUUCCCUUAUUAGAGAACCACACUUCCAAGAACUAAUAAAUUAAUUUUCAAUGACCCGAUACCCGAUAAUCGAUCAACGAACCAAGUUACCCUGGGGAUAACAGCGCAAUCCACCCUGAAAGCCCUUAUUAACAGGUGGGUUUACGACCUCGAUGUUGGAUCAGGGUAUCCCAGUGGUGCAGCAGCUACUGAGGGUUCGUUUGUUCAACGAUUAAAACCCU
rnacentral:rRNA from 1 species